rnacentral:tRNA from 2 species
UGCCGGAAUAGCUCAGUUGGUAGAGCAGAGGACUGAAA